rnacentral:rRNA from 1 species
GAUGAACGCUGGCGGCGUGCCUAAUACAUGCAAGUCGAGCGAACGGACGAGAAGCUUGCUUCUCUGAUGUUAGCGGCGGACGGGUAAGUAACACGUGGAUAACCUACCUAUAAGACUGGGAUAACUUCGGGAAACCGGAGCUAAUACCGGAUAAUAUUUUGAACCGCGUGGUUCAAAAGUGAAAGACGGUCUUGCUGUCACUUAUAGAUGGAUCCGCGCUGCAUUAGCUAGUUGGUAAGGUAACGGCUUACCAAGGCAACGAUGCAUAGCCGACCUGAGAGGGUGAUCGGCCACACUGGAACUGAGACACGGUCCAGACUCCUACGGGAGGCAGCAGUAGGGAAUCUUCCGCAAUGGGCGAAAGCCUGACGGAGCAACGCCGCGUGAGUGAUGAAGAUCUUCGGAUCGUAAAACUCUGUUAUUAGGGAAGAACAUAUGUGUAAGUAACUGUGCACAUCUUGACGGUACCUAAUCAGAAAGCCACGGCUAACUACGUG